AUUGAACGCUGGCGGCAUGCUUUACACAUGCAAGUCGAACGGUAACAGGCCUUCGGGUGCUGACGAGUGGCGAACGGGAGAGUAAUGCAUCGGAACGUACCCAGAGGUGGGGGAUAACGCAGCGAAAGCUGUGCUAAUACCGCAUGUGAUCUGAGGAUGAAAGCGGGGGACCGAGCAGCAAUGUUUGGCCUCGCGCCUUUGGAGCGGCCGAUGUCGGAUUAGCUAGUUGGUGGGGUAAAGGCCUACCAAGGCGACGAUCCGUAGCUGGUCUGAGAGGACGACCGGCCACACUGGGACUGAGACACGGACCAGACUCCUACGAGAGGCAGCAGUGGGGAAUUUUGGACAAUGGGCGCAAGCCUGAUCCAGCAAUGCCGCGUGCGAGAAGAAGGCCUUCGGGUUGUAAACCGCUUUUGGCAGGAGCGAAACGGUGUCCGCUAAUACCGAGCGCUAAUGACGGUACCUGCAGAAUAAGCACCGGCUAACUACGUG
rnacentral:rRNA from 1 species